UACGUAGGGGUCGAGCGUUGUCCGGAUUUAUUGGGCGUAAAGCGCGCGCAGGCGGCCAGGCAAGUCCAGGGUGAAAUCUCCCGGCUCAACCGGGAGGGUGCCCUGGAAACUGCUUGGCUUGAGGCAGGGAGAGGGAUGUGGAAUUCCCGGUGUAGUGGUGAAAUGCGUAGAUAUGGGGAGGAACACCAGUGGCGAAGGCGGCACCCUGGGCCUGGCCUGACGCUCAGGGGCGAAAGCGUGGGGAGCAAACCGG
rnacentral:rRNA from 1 species